rnacentral:lncRNA from 10 species
AAGCUUGUUGGCUGGGGUGGGGUGCUGGUGCAAAGCCUCCCAUUUUGCCUUGAGGACCAUAGCAAAUACCUCCUUUCUGGAUGGACAAGGGAGACCCUUGUCAGCAAGAAUUGUGCUACAGUCUCCCAGCCUAACCACAAGGACACACAAGGACUAGAACAUUCGCUCUGCUUCUACACAGCAUUGGCAAGAGUUUGAACACCUCUUUCUCAAACCAACAGCAAGAGUUGCCCAGGAAGUGCAUUCACUAACAUACUCCCCUAAAUAUUCUUGUGUGAAAAGAAGAGAUAUGUUGCCAUGAAUGGGUCUUUCAGUUGGUAUUUGUAGGACUGCAAAGUUGCAAAGCUGGCAACAUGGUAAUAGCUUAGAGUGUUAAAUUUUGUGAUUUACUACUUGAUAUGGUAGCACAAAAUUAGAACUACAAGAAGAAUAAAGGCUUGGUCACCUUACCUGUAAGAUCUACUAAUGACAAUAACUUUAUAGAGAAAAUUGCUCCUCUUUAAGCAAUGCCUCAUCUGACUUGAUGCUCUCUGCUGCAGAAGGUGAAAUUGCAACAAUUACAAACUUGAUCUUGGCUGUGACCCCUGAAUUGACCUUUUGAAGGAACCUGGAUUAUGUCUGAAUCUAUUAUCUCUGCAAGGAGACCAGCUGUCUUCAGAAUUGCUUUUGGGGCCCCGUAAUGUCAUCGUGAAAUUGCAGUUAGUAAUCUUGCCAACAAUUUCCAGAUUUGGUGCAGAUAAGCUUGAACACAUUUGACUCUUUGGUUUCCAAUGUUAUUUAGAGAAUUGGAUGACUUAAAGCAUUUAUUUUUUUCAACUCAAUUCUUAUCAUAAUCCAUCAACAUCACUGUGUUUUUAUUCUCUAUUUCAUUUUUAUAUGAUCCUAUUAGUUGAGAGAAACACAAGUGACAUUUUUCUUUCCUAUGGCCUUGUCUCCUUUUUGCCUUUGCUAGAACUCAGAGAUCAUAUACCUUUUACUAAAUUAGAAUUCAGCCAUAUCCUCUGACCAACAAUUUUCCUAGCACUGAUCUUCUUCACUGAGUUUUGUUAGGGAUGAAACAAAGGCAGUUCUUUCUGCUCCAUGCAAAUGACAUUUGCAACCUGUCCCUAAAUCACAGACCGGAAAUGCUUCUCUUAGAUGACUGAGGCUGAUACUUUUGAAAUGUGCUGCACUCCAGGUACCUUUGUGCUGUCUCCAGGAAAAUGAAAGACAUCCAAUCUGUCGGGAAAUGCUGUUGGCUCUCCAUCUGGAAUAUAUUCAGAGUUGAAGACUUUUCACCACCUCUUCUAAUAUCACCCUUGGGACACUUUGAUGGCUCCCUACAUCAGUCAUGGAACAUAGGAACCACGCUAGGUAUUUCAGUAGAGAGUCCUUCUCUUCCCUCCAC